UGUGCAUUCCCUGACAGCAGCAAGAAGCCCAGUGACCUUGAGUCCCGGCUGGCUUCCUCUUCAGGCUAUCACGAGAGAUGGGACCAUCUAGUUGCAGGAAAACAAGAUCAGGACUCCCACUGAUUCUACAUUAUGCUAGAAACACUCAAAAUUCCGCAUUCAAACAAAUGCUACACAAUCAGGGCAGAGCUAAGAGAAAUCUGACGGAAAAUAGUAAAGAAACGGCAUCUGGGGCCCCGUGGCAGG